GUGAAAUUGUUGAAAGGGAAGCGCUUGCAACCAGACCUGCCUGCAGUUGCUCAUCCGGGCUUUUGCCCGGUGCACUCUUCUGCUGUCAGGCCAGCAUCGGUUCGGGCGGUCGGAUAAAGGCUUCGGGAAUGUAGCUCCUCUCGAGGAGUGUUAUAGCCCGUUGCGAAAUGCGGCCAGCCUGAACUGAGGUCCGCGCUUCGGCUAGGAUGCUGGCGUAAUGGUUGUAAGCGGCCCGUCUUGAAACACGGACCAAGGAGUCUAACAUCUGUGCGAGUGUUUGGGUGUCAAACCCGUACGCGUAAUGAAAGUGAACGGAGGCGGGAACCCCUCGGGGUGCACCGUCGACCGAUCCUGAUGUCUUCGGAUGGAUUUGAGUAAGAGCAUAGCUGUUGGGACCCGAAAGAUGGUGAACUAUGCCUGAAUAGGGUGAAGCCAGAGGAAACUCUGGUGGAGGCUCGCAGCGGUUCUGACGUGCAAAUCGAUCGUCAAAUUUGGGCAUAGGGGCGAAAGACUAAUCGAACUAUCUAGUAGCUGGUUCCUGCCGAAGUUUCCCUCAGGAUAGCAGUAACGUUUUCAGUUUUAUGAGGUAAAGCGAAUGAUUAGAGGCCUGGGGGUUGAAACAACCUUCACCUAUUCUCAAACUUUAAAUAUGUAAGAAGUCCUUGUUGCUUAGUUG
rnacentral:rRNA from 1 species